AAAAUCAACCUGUCUCUUCAGCCUGUAGUUUCUUCACCUCACAAAUGAGAAUGCUGUGGGAAAGAGUGUCAAAAACCUUAUUGAAGACAACCACUGAUUUUUCUCAUCCAUGCAGCCACUGAUUUCACCAUAGAAGGCAAUCAGGCUGGUCAAGCCCUUGGUAAAUACAUGUUGACUGUUCCAGAUUACCUUCUUGUCCUUCCCACAUUCGGAAAUGGAUUGCAAGAGGACAUGCUCCAUGAGCUUUCCAGUGACUGAGGUAAGACUUACUAAACUGUAGAUCCUUGAUUCUCCUCUUUUUGCCUUUCUUAAAGAUGAGUUUUAAGUUAGCCCUUUUUUCCAGUCAUCAGGGAGUUCUCCUGAUUGCCAUGAUUUUUUGUAACCUUGCAAUCUUAUCAGCAACCUUCACUGUCUUUCAGUACCUUCAACUUUGAAUACAUCCAGCCUCUCUAAAGAGCCCCUAACCUGUUGCUCUCCCACUAUUUGCUGUCACCUCCUUUCAAAACAUGCUGAUUUGUGCAGCAGUCUGGAAUCAGGCAUUGCUUAGGAAGGCUGAGGCAAAAAAGGCAUUGAGUAUUUUGGCCUUCUCUAUAUCUAUUUUACCCUUUGUGUCAUACCUUUUGUGUCACUCGUUAUUAUUUAUUUUUUGGCUCCAUCAGGGAUGCGAUUUUCCUGAUUCAUGCAUAAAUGUGCCACAAUGCUUUUAUACUCUUACAUCGUGCCUGUUUUUGUUUCCAUUUCCAAUGAUUUAGACUGGGCUCCUUAAGAACGGUUUUCACAAAAUCAGAGCCACAAAAAAGUUUUUCUGGUAAAGCAGAAGAAGCCUGAGUAGUGAAAUAUUUAAAAGGUAUUUGGAAACUAUUCAUUAAAUAGACCUUCCAUCAUACAGAAUAUAAAUUCCUAAUACAUGACAGUGAGAGGUGAUGAUUUAUUUGCCCUCCUGAGAUCAAAUGAGAAAAUAUGGCUCUCCUUAGCUGGUACACACUCACCAACCAAUCGUACCACUGCUUGGGAUUUAGUGGUUUUCUGGUGGCUUCAAAAGGUUCAGUCAGGGAUCCUGGGUGCUGUACAGACGAACCCGUGGCUGCCCCACACUUCUGCUUUAAGACAGGAGACAGCAGAGGAUAACAAGGAAAGAAAGAUCAACAUAAUAGGCAAAAGGAAAACACCAGACCGCAGAGGUGAACAAUGAAGCCUGCUGCACAACUGAAGGUGAACAAUUGGCACAUCCAAGUUCUAGAAAUGUGAUGGCAGAGCAGAACUCAGCUGUACUGGUGAAAAGCUAUGGGAGUUACAGAUUCCCUGCUCUGACUACCUGUUUCUCUCACUUCAAACAACAACAUAUCAUGGAAUUUUAGCCUGCUUUUUGUGUAAACAAUCUGUAUGCAAUCACACUGUGUAUAUUUAUCUGUGCUCCCCUGCCUUGUCACCCCAAUAUCUUUUGAACAUUUUCACCAUUUUCAUCCAGAUUAUGUAGUGGUUUCAAAGAAAAUAAAGUUCUUAGG
rnacentral:lncRNA from 1 species